AAAUAUGUGGAAGGAGACUGGAGGAGUGUCUUCACAGGAAAAGAGGAGAGAGUGAGAUCAAGGGUGAGAAUGAGAGGCAGAGCUGGGAGAGAAUUGAACCAGAAGGAGAAGGGAGCAAAUGUUCAGAAGGAAACCAGAAGGAGAACUGAGCAAGAAGCGACAAACUCAGGAACAUUUGCUGAGCUCGUGAAUGGCAGACAUUAAAUCAUAGUCACUGCUUGUUGAAAAUGUAGGCACCAAUGUCUCCCAAUGUCUCCCAACCUGCCCUGCUCCAAACUCUGAUGCACACGUACCUGUGUACAGGUAGAUGGCAUUGCAUAUGAAGAAGAGUGGCUCAAGGAAGGAAAGCAGAGUCCCAGAAUUCUCCAGGCUAAUAAGAUGAAAUUUAAGCCCAGGCCAUUCUAAGUCUGAGUUCUUCUUAUGACACUAAGCCGCCUCAGUCAAGGCAUCAGAGAGGGAGCUAGAAAGCACAAGGCAAAUGGAUACUAAAUUCCUGAAUUGGAGGGAGUGGCCACCAUUAAUGGGUAAACUGCGGGUAAAGAUGGAGCUAGCAGAGAAAAACCUUUGCUAGCUUCACAAGUUUGCACAGCAUCCGUGCUUGUGAUCCUCUCUUGUGCACAGGAUAAAUGACCGUGAUUACCUACCCACACAGAAAGUAAGUUAGAACACUACUAUGAAUCUGUAGAUUAUACACCAACAUGGCUUAAGAUGAUUUAUCACAAUUGCAAAAGAUGCCUGAUUUUUUUUUUCCAGAAAGGAAGCUUGGAUUCCAUUAACCAGGCUAAGACUUUAUAGUGCCUUAUUGCCUGGCACAAAAACAGAUAGUCGUAACAAUAAGCCCAAAUCAUCAAGAAAGUGUGUGACUGUAUUUUGCAAACUCAGCUCAGGCAAUCAGGGAAGAGUAAAAUCCACAUGGGAAAGAUUUCCGCUGACUUCCCACCCAAGAUGGUACGGUUCAUGGUAUGGAACACAUGGCAGUGAUGGACUGAAUAUCACAAAGUAAACUCAAAAAGGCAUGGCCAAGACAAAAACAAACAAGCAAGCAAAUGUGAUCAGAUAUUUGUCUCCAUAUUGAAGUCUCAGGCUUGCUUGUCUGGAAGCAAACCAUGGUAGCCAGAAGUUAAGCGCCUGCAAGGCAUAGUGGUCCAAGAGUACUCUGAGCAAGAUGGAGGGCAAAAGCCACACUGACCGCAUAAAGCCAAGGACUGGAAUGUGGCUACCCACAAACUCACCAACCCCUGGCUAUAAAUCUGAACAACAACAACAACAAAAGAGAACAUCUACCAAACUCUGCCAGGGUCUUUGUCUCUGAUGAGCUAAAGGUGUAUGAGGAUGAGGACACAGACACAGUGUUUCUAGAAAAUGUUUUCGACUUGUUUUUUUGAUAUUUGCAAACUACUUGCAAAACCAAUCUAGAUAAGCUCGUGGUUCUCUCGAGAUCUUGCUGGCAGAAGAUGAAAGUGGGAAUGAUGAUUAUUGUCUAUGAAUGGGUGAUGAGAGUGUGUGUGGAAGGGGUGAGGGAGUUAGCAAAAUUAAUUGAGCAAUAUGGCAGAUUAGCUAAAAACUCUGACACUUGUUUUAGCCUUGUGACCUUGGGUAAGCCACUUAACCUCUCUUCGCCUCGUUCUUUUUGUCGUCGUUGUUUUCAUCUGUAAAAUGGCGAUAGGGUUGUUGUGGAGAUUAAAUGCGCUUAGAACAGUGUCCAGCACGUAGCACUAUGUAAGAGUUAGCUGUUAUUAUUGGGCCACAAUGUGUACUGCAAAAUAACCACAGAAUUGUUAGAAAACCCUGUGAGGUAGGUGUUUUCCGUUCUGUACCUGCAUGAGAGAACUUGAGCAAUGAAAAGCCAGGCAAAAUGACCAAAGUCUCAUAUAACUACAGAGUGGCAAAACCUUUACUCCAAGGCCCUCACUUCAUGGAAGAGCAAACCAAAGUUCAAAAUAGAAGGGCAUGGCUCAAGUCAUUUAGUGAGGCAGUGCCAGAACUGGGCUUAGAAUUCAGCAACAGGACUCUUCAAGUGGUUCUCAAACCUUGGUGUGCAUCAGAGUCCCCUGGAGGGCUUGCCCAAACAACCUUGGUGUGCAUCAGAGUCCCCUGGAGGGCUUGCCCAAACAAACUGCCAGUCUCCACUCCCAGAGUUUCUGAUUUCGUAUGUGGCAGUGGGACCUGAGCAUUUGAAUUUCUAAAGAAAUUCUCAAAUGUUGCUGAUGCUGCUGGUCUGGGGACCUGGACAUUGGGAACCACAACACACCAUAGUUCAUACAUCUUUUUUCCUUUUCACUGUGGACUCCACAGCCUGUUAUCUGUAAACACAAAGAAAGGGAAAACAGAGAUGAAAACUAAAGAAAAAGAAAAGCUAGCAGCAAGAAGACAGGGUGACUGACCAAUAGUCCUGGUUUGUGUGGGACUUUUCCAAUUUUAAAAUGGAAAGUCGUACAGUACAGGAGACCCCUCAGUCCCAGGCACACUGGGAUGGUUGGCCAUUGUAGACAAAGGCAAACAAAAUCUGGUGCCCGUCAACUGCCAAACAGAAAAGGACAUACAGAGAAUGAGGUAAUUUCUGAUGAGUUUGUCUGAAAAGGACUCCUUCAUUUCUUCUUCUCAAAAAAAAUCUGUAUUAUGAAACUACUCUUUGUAAGGCACCAUGUUAGGUGCUGUGCUCCUGACACUACUGAUCCCAUCCCACCAGAGAAAAAGGUAAAAGUGAGUCUACAGUGAGCUUGGUAGGUAUAGACCCAGGCUUAUAUACUCAGAAACACCUGGAAUAGAUGUGGGGAAGGAACACCCCACAUCAAAACUUUUCAUUGAUGUUUCAAUACAUGAUCAGCAGUCCAAUAAUUCCCUCCCUCCUUUCUUCCUCUGAAGGGAGCACAUCAUUGAGAAGGACUGAUUAAACAUUUAGGAAAAGGAAGGUGAAGUAAUGAGUGAUUCCUCAUUAAUAAUUCAGGAGAGAAGAGGUAAGGGGAGUUGUUCAGUAAGGAGGGCUUACUGAAUUGAAUUGAAUUUUUUGUCCUCUACAGAGCCACGAGUGUGUCCUUCGCAUGUCAUAAAUCAGUGCCAACGUCAGUUACGGUGUAAUCUUCAAGGCCAAUUUAUACAAAACUUCAAUAAAGGCAAAUAUCCUGGCGAGGACUUAAUGGCAAUGUAUUUUAGGAGUGCAUAAUAGCAAAGGGAAAAGAUUUGCAUGGUUAAAUGUUGUUCCUUCUACCCUGAUCGCCCAAGAGUAUACUCUGUAAGACCCAAAAUUAAUUCUCAGUCCUUUAACCUAACAGGGAUACAGAUUUCAGGGAAGACUCCUAAAGAUUCCUACACAGUAAAAAUAAAACGCAGAUAAUACUUUGAGAACACA